UGAGAUACACAUAUUGUUUCUGCUGAUGGAGGAUCGCUGGAGACUGAGAUCUGCACACACACAUGGACGUGCAGCAGCACUGCUCCUCCAACAGGCACGUCAGGCUCUUAAAGGGAACACCCUGGAGAGUUUCUCAGUCACACUCACCUCACUGCCUCCUACUGUGGGGACCAUAGAGUUUGCCUCCAUGGUAAGUUUAUAACUAGCAAACUAACUUUCCCACUUCAAUACAACCAACUUUCUCCAUGUGUCAUGACGUGCUUUGUUGUGUCUGUCAUUCUUACAUUUAUUAUAUAUCAGACUGACACUUCAGACAGAUAUAUUAAAUAUCCCGUGAGGGGAGGGGGGACAAUCAUAUUCGCAGCACUGCACCAAUUGUUUGUUGGUUUUCUCCUGACACUGUAUUAAUUUACGUUACGUUUAGAUGUCCCCAUGCAACAAAGAGCAGAGGCACUGGUCAUCCCUUGCCUGUUUGUGACUAUUACACACAAAAAAAUAAAGAUUGUAAAAGAGGUCAUAUGUUGAUAAUGUGUAAAAAUGCAUAAUGUCCAUGUUUUAAAAUGCCCCAGGAACAAAUGUGAUACAUUUGUACAACUUUAUUCUUUUUUAGCCAAUGCAUAUUUGUACAUGAAAUACAUGAGCCUCCAUCUGUCAUUGCUUUCUCAUUCUUUGACUACACUGCAAUAGGCAUUGCCUUCGACCCCUGUUCUUGUUUUACAAGCCCUAAAACUAACUUAUAAGUAAACUGUGUCCAGAACAAAAACUGGUAGCCAUACUAGCCAUCUAGUUCUAGCCAAGUGUACUACUGUCCAAAUAUGAUCAAAUUUGUCAUUUUUGGCCAUGGUUGUCUUUUGACAGCCAAAUUUAACUUAUUUGUUAUCUACAAUCCACUUCAAUAUUUUUGUCCAGCUCUUGCAAAUAUUCUGCAGGACAGUGAAGGUCCAACACUGCAAUCUCUCCUCGCUCAGACACAGAAGUGGAAAAGUAAUUGGAAUGUUUGCUGAAAAGUUCAUGUGGGCCUAUUCAUUGGAAAGAAUGCGUCCUUCCACAGCGUUACUUGAUUAAUGCGUUAGUAUUCUGUGAUAAGCACAGUUUAUUAGUGUCAUAGGCACUCAAAAUACUCUACAUAGGGUUGAUAAGGAUUUACAAAGGGGGAAUAAUAAUCAAGAAAACAUGGACUCGAUGCCUUUGUCCAGUCUGAUUUAGACGCCUAUUACUACCUGAGAGAAGGUUAAAAUAAACAUUACCAAUACUGUCAGUAUUUCUCCUAUGGCAAUUUAAGUGUAUAGUAUCAUGUAAAAGCUGUUAUCACAAUCAAACACCUUCUCCACGUUUUAGAUGUAAUGAAUGUAACUCACAGGCUUCAUGAAGUUACAGCUGUCAACACCUAUUGUCUCCACUAGUGAAAAAUGAGCCGCCUCACAAAAUAGCAGCACUCAAUAAAGUAUACCUACAAUUCCGUCAUACCUGAAGGAUACCUAAGCACAUUAACUACGUACAUUCACUUGCAUGGUAAACAUAGUCUGUUAAGACACUCUGUAGCCUAAUGUUAGAGUAGUGUCAACAACAACUGGCUACGGUACUAACAGUAGCCUAAUACUGUAUUGUAUUACAGCAGUACAGGAACACAGUCUAGCGGGACAGGUGUUCUAAUUGAACGAAACUGAAGAGACACACCGAGUGACAAUGAAACAUAUAGCAGAAAGAGAAAGCGACGAAGAGCCUGGGGAGCAUAAUCGGUGUUUUGACACAGAGUGGUAUAAUAACGGAAUCAAUGCGGAACGAAACAGCGCUGUGACAGCAGGUUCGGCUCUAGCAGCCUGCUUGUAGUGUUCAGUCGUCGAACCCCGCUCGCCUGUCAUUUACACAGAAUAUUUUACGUAUGCCGAACGGUAAAA